AUGUGAAAUCAAAACCACCAAAAUUGUAUAAUAAGAAGAACUUCAUCUUCAGAAGCAACAAAGAUUCAGAAAAAAUGGCGUUACAGUGGAUGAUACUGACGUAUGUUGUAGCGGCAGAGGCUGCCAUAGCAAUUCUCCUGACAUUGCCAUCUCCAAAAGCAAUCAAAUCUCGUUUCGUUUCCCUAAUUUCACUCACUCUUCAGCCCUCUUUAUUCAUCAUCCCGUUCGCCGGUUUUCAGCUCCUUGAUAUAUAUUGGAAGAAUGAGCAUCGGUUGAUGUGCACCGGUGAGAUCUGCACUGCCGCUGAGAGAGACCGCUACGAGAAAUCGAUCUACAAGGCUCAAAGAAAUGCUAUUCUGUGUGUAGCAGCAUGCCUUCUCUACUGGUGUAUCUAUCGUGUCUGCAAGUAUUACAAGGAAAUUCAGAGCGUUGAGGAGGUGGAAAAGAGACUCAAAGAUGAGUAGGUUUUUUAGGCUGCAGCUCUUCCACUAGUAUUUGAGAUCUAGUUGUAGCAUAGCUCAAACAGUUCCCUUAGUACUUUGUAAUUUUAUAUGAAUCUUGGGUUUCACUUUGCUACACCGCCAUCUAAUGGCAUGCUUUUGUUAGAUUUUUGUGUGUGGUUCUUUUUUAUUCUAAAAAACAUAAAUGUAAGUGGUCGUUACCACAGUCACCUACAUACAUUCUAUACUAUCUA
rnacentral:misc_RNA from 1 species